rnacentral:rRNA from 1 species
UCGCAUCUGUGCAUGCAGCAUAUCAAUAAGCGGAGGAAAAGAAACUAACAAGGAUUCCCUCAGUAACGGCGAGUGAAGCGGGAAGAGCUCAAAUUUGAAAUCUUCAAGGUUUUACCUUGACGAAUUGUAGUUUAAAGAAGUGUUAUCUGCCUGAAGUUUUGGUAAAAGUUCUUUGGAAUAGGACAUCAUAGAGGGUGAGAAUCCCGUAUUUGACCUUUACUUUCAACUUUGUGAUACACUUUCAAAGAGUCGGAUUGUUUGGGAAUGCAGUCCAAAAUGGGUGGUAAAUUUCAUCUAAAGCUAAAUAUUGGCGAGAGACCGAUAGCGAACAAGUACCGUGAGGGAAAGAUGAAAAGAACUUUGAAAAGAGAGUUAAACAGUACGUGAAAUUGUCAAAAGGGAAGCGUUUGACACCAGUGUUGUUUUUCUGAAAAUCAAUUAAAGAACUGUUUAUGCUAAGCUGUUUAGACUUUAUCAGCUAACUGUUUAGUCUUGAGCUUUUCUUUAAUGCACUUUUCAGUUAACAAGUCAACAUCAAUUUCUUUUGCUGUAAAAAAGCUUGAGGAAGGUGGCUUGAGAUUCGUCUUAAGUGUUUAUAGCCUCUUGCCUAUGCAGUCGGAGAGAUUGAGGUCUGCAGCGUAGAUCCUUCGGGGCUAAAUGCAUUUGUGCUAAGUUAUAGCAUUUUAUAGACAACUUGUUGACUAUGAUUUGUCUUGUAGCUUACUCGCUUAUGCUAUUUUACCUACGCUUAGGAUGUUGACGAUCAGCUGAGCGCG